rnacentral:rRNA from 1 species
GACGAACGCUGGCGGCGUGCCUAACACAUGCAAGUCGAACGGAAAGGCCCGGCUCUUGCUGCGUUCUCGAGUGGCGAACGCGUGAGUAACACGCGAGUAUCCCGCCCCUGACUUUCUGAUAACUUCUGGAAACUCGGGCUAAUACCGGAUAGGAGCUCCUGCAGCAUGUGGGUGGUUGGAAAGAUUCGGCGGUGGGGGCUGGACUCGCGGCUUACGCGCUAGUUGGUGGGGUAGGUGAUGUCCAAGUCUUCGACGGGUAGCCGGCCUGAGAGGGGGACCGGGCACAUGGGGCCUGCGGGACGGACCAGACUGCUAUGUGAGGCAGCAGUCGGGAGUCUUGCGCAACGGGCGGGAGCCUGAUGCAGCAGCGCCGCGUGCGGGAUGCCGGCCUUCGGGUUGUAAACCGCUUUCGCCUGUAACGAGGCGUGAGUGACGGUACUGGGUAAAGAAGCACCGGCUAACUACGUG